UUCGUUUUGAAAUAACUGCGCAACCGAAAACGAACAAAAUCAAGAAACCGACAAAAAGUUUUGGCAAAUUCUAACCGUGCAAACGCGACGACGACCGAAUUCUAACUGUAAGCGCAGUUUGUGCAUUCUUCUCUGUCUCCUGUAUUCUCCUGCACCUUCCAAAAAAAAUGUAUGCUGUGUGUGUGAGUGUGUAUACAUAGUAUGUGUGUAAAAGUAUGCGUGCACCCUUUGCUUAAAUACAGUGAAUGCUGUUUAGCAUCGAUCACUGAAAUUUAUGAGUAGAGUAAGCAGCAAAGAAGACUAUGCAAAAUGAUAAAGUUGUUUCUUUAAUUUGCUUCAUAUAUUUUAAUAUUUUUUGAAAUACCAUUAAUAACAAGUGAGUGUCCACUGUGAUUAAUAGUCAACUACAUAUUUAAAGGGUUGCCACCUAGUUUUGCCAUUCGCCCCCGCUCUUCACAAAUCAGUUUUUUCUCUUCUUUCGCGUGUGAAACAAGUGCAACUAGUGAGAAAGCAGCAGCAUAAUAAUUAGUGUAAAAAUAAAACAAAAUAAACGAAAAAACCAAACGAACUACAAUCAAAUAAUAAUAUUAAUAAAUAAAGUGCAAUCAAUUAAGUGCAAUUGGCAAUUACAAUUGGCAAAUGGCGCAUUGCAAGUGCAAGUGGCCAACCUCCGCCCCCCUCUCUCAUCGUCACCACCAUCAUCAUAAUGAUUGCCAGCAAAGUCUCAGCAAAGACAAAACGGGCAAAGACAAGUUGCGUUGUGAACUGAUUUGAUGAUUAUUUUUUGGAAAUUUGUUGUCGUUCAAUUUGAAACUGAUUUAGGAAGUCAAAGCCGACGUUACGCUCGACAGCAUAAAUCGGUAAAGAAAGUAAAGGAAAAUAUUGUGGAUGCAAAUAUUUGAUGCUGUCCUCGAAGAUUUGGGCAAGU